GAAAUCCAGAAUUUGUUGUAAUCUUAAUCUAGGUCUAAGUAGAAAUGUUAGCACAGACUGUAACACUUAAAUUACGACCAAAAGGACAACAUGAUAGAACCAUUUUAUUACUGCGAAACUGUCUUGCAAAUAUUGCUUUAAAAGGCUUUUUGUUUUAGAAAAAAAUGCACCACAAGUAAAAAACAUUUUUGAUCGUGAUGUUUUUAUUCUCAUGAGUUUUGGGGUUGAAGCACAAAUCAAAACCAAACGGCUGACCUUAAAUCAAUGAUACUUUGGUCGAAUGUCAGUUGUGUAAAAUAUUUACGUCCUGCUUUUUAUUAAAUGUUUUUGUUGUGGUUAGCUAGGGAGGGUAAACGCAGGAGCAGGAAGACUCUAACACAUCCAGACGUUUUCAAAGAUUCAAUCAAAUGCCAAGCAUAAGCGACAGCAUACAAGAUGCUCCAACACCAAACACAGAAUGAACAGUCCUUCAAAUAAGGAAGCUAGAUCAGAUAAGUGGAGGCAGCUGUGACCAAUUCGGGAGAGGCCACAGCCAACCAGCAAAGAAACAGGACCUAGCAGCAACACUAGGGGGCAACCCAUCACAUGACCCCUCUAACAAAAUCUGGCUCCUAGACAUGUGAGGUUGGUCAGAGUGGUCCCGGCGGUAGCGUUCGAUGCAGCUUCCCCUUUUUCAGCGGCACAUCGGGCGAAGAGAGACACACUCUGUCUCUCACCCUGUAUUCAGGAGCAGCUGACUGAUGACGGUAUGACACAGCAGUGAAUCUCUCCUGAUUUUGUAGAAGCUGGUGUCGAUAUCUGCUCCAUGUAUGCCAACAAUGGCUCACAAAUGCAGCGGGACCAGAGGUAGAAGGUGAUUGUUCCUGAUGGGGAAAAAGGGGUGCCUGAUAACUGCAGGCUGCUUGAACAGGGGAAUAUCACGAAGAAUUUUGGAGGGUGUAAUGUGAAUAUACAGCCCAGGGCAGAGAAGACCAAGUUCUUGCAUAAUUCUCUCCAAAAGGUGGCAACAAAAUGCAGUCCUCGAUCCAAAGUUAUGUUUUGUGGAAGGCCAUGUUAACAAAACACAUGCUUAGUGACUGAAACAGCCAACUGUUUGGCUGAUGCAAAGGCACAGCAUCAACCAGUUUGGAAAACCUAUCUACAAUGGAUAGGAUAACAGUGUUACCUUCUGAGAUGGGUAACCCAGUUAAGAGUUCUAUCAGAGAAUUCCACCGAAGAGAAGGUCCGAAGAGAAGAGGUAGAGGUUGUAGGUAUCCAGCGGGUGGCUUUCUGGAUACCUUCACACUUGGACACACAGGGCACGAGGACAAAAAAGCCCUAACGUCAGAGGACAUGAUGGGCUACCAAAACGUUUGAGCCACUAUCAACGCAGUCCUCACCACUCCAGGAUGGCAAGCUAACAGAGAAGAGUGACCCCACUUGAAAACUGCAGGACAAAGAGAGGGAGGAACAAACAGGCAGUCAGAAGGACAUCCUACAAGAAUGGUAGUCACAUCAGGAACAGAAGCUUUGACCAUGCAAUGCAAGGCCCAUCAAGAAGCUCCCAGCACAAGAUAAGGAGGAACAAUGGUGGCAGCUGCAGUAGAAUCAGAUUCGUCCUCUCACUGAAACUGGUGUGAAAGAGCGCCCGGCUUGAAAUCUUUACUGCCCGGCCAGUAGGAGAGGGAGAAAUUGAACCUGUCGAAAAACAGGGCCCAUCUGGCCUGGUGUGGGUUAAGGCUUUUGGCUGUUUGAAUGUAUUCCAGCUUUUAAUGAUUAUUCCAAAUCAUAAAUGCUUAGUUAGCCCCCUCCAACCAGUGACGCCACUCCUCCAAGGCUAAUUUUACUGCCAACAGCUUUCUGUUUCCUAUGUUGUAGUUUCUCUCAGCAGGAGUGAUCUUGCAGGAUGAACUUUAUUGUCAGACGCUCUCUGACACAAAACUGCCCCCACUCCAGACUCAGACGCAUCCACCUCCACAGUGAAAUGUUUGGAGAAAAUGUCUUUCCAGAUCGGUAAACGCCUUAUUUGCUCCCUCAUCCCAGACAAAACGUACCUUAGCCAAGGUGAGUCUGUAAAAAGCCUUGCAUGAAAUGCCUGUGGAAAUUUGCAAACCCCAGGAUGCGCUUUAACUGUUAACAUCCAGAAGGGACAGGCCAAGCGAGAACGGCUUUAACCUUGACCAUUUGCAUAGUCCCAGGGGUAAUCACAUGGGCAAGAAACUUGGUCUGAGUGGCAAAUGUUUUAAAAGAUGUAUGAAUGAACUCAUGCCACAUAUGCUUAAUAUAGGACAGGGGCCUAUAUUAUCUGUGUACUCUUUAUUCUGUUCAUCCUCCAUUUCAGAAUGCUGAAAUAUAACUCAGGAUGAGAAUUUUAUUGACAAACAAGCACAAUGUAAAUGAAUACAUUGUUGUGAUGGUACAUUAAAUAUAGACAUUACUCUUAAAUGUAGAAUAUAUUUACACUCUUGUUAAUAUUGGACAGAGGGAUAAGGUAUAUAAGGUAUUCUUGAAACAUUUUUAAGAUUUAAAACACAUCUUUCAAUAAAACAAUGCUUUCUGUGAAAUGGUAAAUGGUAGACAGCAAAUAAUUGUAAAUUGUAUAGGGCUUUUCUACCUUUCUUGAAGGCUGAAAGCGCUUUACAGUCACAGUCCCAUUCACCCAUUCACACACGUUCACACACUGAUUGUGGCUCUGCUGCUGCCGAACACUGCCGCCAACCUUCCACCAGAGGCAAGUUAUAUAUAUGUCAUUAACCAUAUGAAAAUAAUAUUUUAUGACUCCCCAACAUCUCCUAAUGAUGUAUAUUUGGUGUAAGUACAAAAACUUUUGGAUACAUGAUCAAAAUAGUCUACAUUAAAAUAUGCAUAUUUGGCUACCCUCCAAACUGAAUACUUGUUGACUCCAAAGCUAAGAUAUAGAGUAAAAUAUGAAAGUGCAGCUCUUUAAAAUAAUAGGUGAAAUAGUAAAGUCUGUCAAAAAAAGAGCUAAAAAUCAUAGAUUUUUAAUUGUUUUCUUUAAAAAUUAGUUUUGCAACAACAUUUGUAAUUUUUAUAUUUUGUAAACUAAUAUACUUUAUAUAAAUAUGUAAACUAUAUGUAUAUAUACAUAUAUAUAUGGAUAUAGAAAGAGAGAGAAAAAGUAGUGGAAAGUAGUCCUUCAAAUAUGUCUGUAAUGUUGUUUACUAGAAGAAUUGGCUUGCAUUUACAGAAACAAGACACCAGUCCUCUUAACCUUCUGAGCAGGAAUAAGCAGUGCUGUGGGGGAGAUAUCAUGUUAUGCAGCUGCCUGUUGAAUUUAUUUGAUGACCAUCUACAUUUUUCAGACUGGGGCAGGGUAGACUCCAUAAUCAAAAAUAGGACAGUAUCAGCAAGUGUUUUUUUUGUAUCAGGAAUAUAAAAUGAUGACGGAUGAUCUUCCACAGCAUAUGAAAGGGGUCUGUGAGCCCUCGUAGUUGGCUCAUUUUUGUUGACUCAGUUUUUAACACAACUCUACAUCUUUUUUUACUUCAUAGCAGAUGCAGUCCUGUAACAACUUCAUGAAUUUGAGGUCUUUAGUGCCUGAAAAAAACUAUCCCAGGGUAUUUCUCCAAAGUUUUAGAAUUUUUUGGGAACUGGUCUAAUGGAAGGAAAAACGUGUGGAAAACAUCUGUCACAUUCCUGAUUCUUAUUUGCUAUUAUACUGAAUAAAACUUGUUGAGGAAAACA